rnacentral:rRNA from 1 species
CCUACGGGCGGCAGCAGUGGGGAAUAUUGCACAAUGGGGGAAACCCUGAUGCAGCGACGCCGCGUGAGUGAAGAAGUAUUUCGGUAUGUAAAGCUCUAUCAGCAGGGAAGAAAAUGACGGUACCUGAUUAAGAAGCCACGGCUAACUACGUGCCAGCAGCCGCGGUAAUACGUAGGGGGCAAUCGGUAUCCGGAUUUACUGGUUGAAAAGGGAGCGUAGACGGCAGCACAAGUCUGGAGUGAAAUGCUGGGGCUUAACCCCGGAACUGCUUUGGAAACUGUGCAGCUAGAGUGCAGGAGAGGGAAGAGGAAUUCCUAGUGUAGCGGUGAAAUGCGGAGAUAGUAGGAGGAACACCAGUGGCGAAGGCGGCUUACUGGACUGUAACUGACGUUGAGGCUCGAAAGCGUGGGGAGCAAACAGGAUUAGAUACCCUAGUAGC